UACGUAGGGGGCUAGCGUUGUCCGGAAUCAUUGGGCGUAAAGCGCGUGUAGGCGGUCCGGUAAGUCCGCUGUGAAAGUCGGGGGCUCAACCCUCGGAUGCCGGUGGAUACUGUCGGGCUUGAGUACGGAAGAGGCGAGUGGAAUUCCUGGUGUAGCGGUGAAAUGCGCAGAUAUCAGGAGGAACACCAAUUGCGAAGGCAGCUCGCUGGGCCGUAACUGACGCUGAGGAGCGAAAGCGUGGGGAGCGAACAGG
rnacentral:rRNA from 1 species